rnacentral:lncRNA from 1 species
GAGGUUUAGAGGUAUGGGACUGUAGGUGGAGGUAUAGAGGUAUGGGACUGUAGGUGGAGGUAUAGAAGUAUGGGACUGUAGGUGGAGGUAUAGAGGUAUGGGACUGUAGGUGGAGGUAUAGAGGUAUGGGACUGUAGGUGGAGGUAUAGAGGUAUGGGACUGUAGGUGGAGGUAUAGAGGUAUGGGACUGUAGGUGGAGGUAUAGAGGUAUGGGACUGUAGGUGGAGGUAUAGAAGUAUGGGACUGUAGGUGGAGGUAUAGAGGUAUGGGACUGUAGGUGGAGGUAUAGAGGUAUGGGACUGUAGGUGGAGGUAUAGAGGUAUGGGACUGUAGGUGGAGAGGUAUGGGACUGUAGGUGGAGGUAUAGAGGUAUGGGACUGUAGGUGGAGGUAUAGAGGUAUGGGACUGUAGGUAGAGGUAUGGGACUGUAGGUGGAGGUAUAGAGGUAUGGGACUGUAGGUGGAGGUAUAGAGGUAUGGGACUGUAGGUAGAGGUAUAGAACUGUAGGUGGAGGUAUAGGACUGUAGGUGGAGGUAUAGAGGUAUGGGACUGUAGGUGGAGGUAUAGAGGUAUGGGACUGUAGGUGGAGGUAUGGGACUGUAGGUGGAGGUAUAGAGGUAUGGGACUGUAGGUGGAGGUAUGGGACUGUAGGUGGAGGUAUAGAGGUAUGGGACUGUAGGUGGAGGUAUAGAGGUAUGGGACUGUAGGUGGAGGUAU